AAAAUCUCUCAAUCUCUUCUCUCCAAAAACCACCAUUGAUGAAGCUUUGAAGCUCCAAGGAAGAAGACUUAUUUUCCAAGUUUUUCUCCAUCAAUUUAGUGGGGUUUUCAUUAGAAUUAAAGUGUAGGUGGCAUUUGAGAGGAGUGUCGAAGUGAAGGUUGGAUUGGCAUUUUCAUUCAAGCAAGAGCUGGCAUAUCCUCACUAGAUUUGAGGACAUCAUGGUGUUUAGAUUAUUUUAUUAAGAGUAUUGUAAUAGACUUAGCUAUUUUCUAUUCGUCGAAGUAUGGGUUGUGUCCAAAUAUAUUCGUAUGUCUUAGAUGGCGACUUUGAGACUGA